UGUCGUGAGAUGUUGGGUUAAGUCCCGCAACGAGCGCAACCCUUUUCCUUAUUUGCCAGCGGGUAAUCCCGGGAACUUUAAGGAUACUACCAGUGACAAACUGGAGGAAGGCGGGGAUGACGUCAAGUCAUCAUGGCCCUUACGGCCAGGGCUACACACGUGCUACAAUGGUCGGUACAAAGGGUUGCUACCUCGCGAGAGGAUGCUAAUCUCAAAAAGCCGAUUGUAGUCCGGAUCGCAGUCUGCAACUCGACUGCGUGAAGUCGGAAUCGCUAGUAAUCGCGGAUCAGAAUGCCGCGGUGAAUACGUUCCCGGGCCUUGUACACACCGCCCGUCACACCAUGGGAGUUUGUUGCACCAGAAGUAGGUAGUC
rnacentral:rRNA from 1 species